CUGCCACUGAUUCAGCACCAUCGGAUUUUCCAGAAGGUAAUGGCAGUGACAUGUUGCUUUGAAAUUUCACAUAAUUUAUUGCUGAUCUCAUGUUGCUGAUGCACAUUCAAGUUCCGAAUGUGACGCACUGCCAGCUUGUUCAACAGCUUGUUCAGCAGGUGUGGAAACCACCCAUGAAUCGAGCUGCCAGCCAUUUCAAGCUUUGACGGUGCCUGUUGAGUCUCAGCAGAACUUUUGUGCUGCCUGUGGAGGAUUUCUGUCUGCUGAGGGCACAGCUGAUGUCACCGGUAAGUGUUCAGUGCUACUGUUCUCACACAC